rnacentral:rRNA from 1 species
UACGUAGGGCGCGAGCGUUGUCCGGAAUUAUUGGGCGUAAAGAGCUCGUAGGCGGCCUGUUGCGUCCGCUGUGAAAUCCCGGGGCUCAACCCUGGGCGUGCAGUCGAUACGGGCAGACUAGAGUGCGGUAGGGGAGACUGGAAUUCCUGGUGUAGCGGUGAAAUGCGCAGAUAUCAGGAGGAACACCGGUGGCGAAGGCGGGUCUCUGGGCCGAUAUUGACGCUGAGGAGCGAAAGCGUGGGGAGCGAACAGG